GAUUGCAUGCAGCUUCGCGGUCGCUCGGCAGACUGCUCCCCAGAAGAAAUGCCGCUUAUUUUCGACGACACUCGCGGGACAUAACUGACCCGUGAAGUGAGCUGUCCACGCUGGAGACACGGUGGCUCGCCUUUCGUCGUUGUCUGGCACGCAGCGCGCAGAGCUUCCUUCAGAGGUCAGUGUUCGUGCUGUACCAGAGAUCGUUCGAACAUGACAACCUCGUCGGAGGGACUGGACAGUGCUUCCACGGGAGGAAUUACGAGUGGAAUCACGAAGAGAAAUACACUCUUGCCGAGACAUACUACUGGGACAAUGCCACGGCGAAAAUAGUAAACCGGACAGUGUACACAUUUCCUGAAGCAACCGAAGGAUAUGACGUGCCGAAUGGGAUGGCCGUUUCCCCCUACAAAGACAAGCUCGUGUCCGUCUACUAUCCACUGGUCUUCUCAGAAUAUGAUAACUGCGACAUACUUCGUUCUCCAAGACAUGACAAUGGCUGCGAGCUGUGGGUCACCCUACAGGGAGUGCACAACAUCAGCAGCGCUUGCCUCUUCAUCUACGAUCUAUUAUGCGCCCCCAACAAGUUCCAAAUCUACGACGAGGAAUUCUGCAGGGAUAAAAUUCAAAUUAGAUAAUAAAAGCACAACGUAUUGCA